AACGAACGCUGGCGGCAGGCUUAACACAUGCAAGUCGAACGCGUCCUUCGGGGUGAGUGGCAGACGGGUGAGUAACGCGUGGGAACGUGCCCUUCAGCUCGGGAUAACCCAGGGAAACUUGGGCUAAUACCGGAUACGUGCGAGAGCAGAAAGAUUUAUCGCUGAAGGAUCGGCCCGCGUCUGAUUAGCUAGUUGGUGGGGUAAGGGCCCACCAAGGCGACGAUCAGUAGCUGGUCUGAGAGGAUGAUCAGCCACAUUGGGACGGAGACACGGCCCAAACUCCUACGGGAGGCAGCAGUGGGGAAUAUUGGACAAUGGGCGCAAGCCUGAUCCAGCCAUGCCGCGUGAGUGAUGAAGGCCUUAGGGUUGUAAAGCUCUUUCGUCCGGGACGAUAAUGACGGUACCGGAAGAAGCAGCCCCGGCUAACUUCGUGCCAGCAGCCGCCGUAA
rnacentral:rRNA from 1 species